rnacentral:rRNA from 1 species
GACGGGGGCCCGCACAAGCGGUGGAGUAUGUGGUUUAAUUCGAAGCAACGCGAAGAACCUUCCCAGGCCUUGACAUCCCCUGCAAAGAUGCAGAGAUGUAUCGGAGGCUAUCAGGGAGACAGGUGGUGCAUGGUUGUCGUCAGCUCGUGUCGUGAGAUGUUGGGUUAAGUCCCGCAACGAGCGCAACCCUUGUGAUAUGUUACCAGUAUCAAGUUAGGGACUCAUAUCAGACUGCCGGUGACAACCCGGAGGAAGGUGGGGAUGACGUCAAAUCAUCAUGCCCCUUAUGGCCUGGGCCACACACGUACUACAAUGGCGGAUACAGAGGGCAGCGACAGGGCGACGUGGAGCGAAUCCCAAAAAGUCCGUCCCAGUUCGGAUUGGAGUCUGCAACCCUGACUCCAUGAACGUUGGAAUCGCUAGUAAUCGCGAAUCAGCAUGUCAGCGGUGAAUACGUUCUCGGGCCUUGUACACACCGCCCGUCAAACCAUGGGAGUCAGUAAUACCCGAAGCCGGUGGCAUAACCUUAGGGAGUGAGCCGUCUAAGGUAGGACCGAUGACUGGGGUUAANUCGUAACAAGGUCCUAAAA